rnacentral:rRNA from 1 species
GGGAAUCUACCCAUCUCUGCGGAAUAGCUCUGGGAAACUGGAAUUAAUACCGCAUACGCCCUACGGGGGAAAGAUUUAUCGGGGAUGGAUGAGCCCGCGUUGGAUUAGCUAGUUGGUGGGGUAAAGGCCUACCAAGGCGACGAUCCAUAGCUGGUCUGAGAGGAUGAUCAGCCACAUUGGGACUGAGACACGGCCCAAACUCCUACGGGAGGCAGCAGUGGGGAAUAUUGGACAAUGGGCGCAAGCCUGAUCCAGCCAUGCCGCGUGAGUGAUGAAGGCCUUAGGGUUGUAAAGCUCUUUCACCGGUGAAGAUAAUGACGGUAACCGGAGAAGAAGCCCCGGCUAACUUCGUGCCAGCAGCCGCGGUAAUACGAAGGGGGCUAGCGUUGUUCGGAAUUACUGGGCGUAAAGCGCACGUAGGCGGAUAUUUAAGUCAGGGGUGAAAUCCCGCAGCUCAACUGCGGAACUGCCUUUGAUACUGGGUAUCUUGAGUAUGGAAGAGGUAAGUGGAAUUGCGAGU